GACGAACGCUGGCGGCGUGCCUAAUACAUGCAAGUAGAACGCUGAAGGAGGAGCUUGCUUCUCUGGAUGAGUUGCGAACGGGUGAGUAACGCGUAGGUAACCUGCCUGGUAGCGGGGGAUAACUAUUGGAAACGAUAGCUAAUACCGCAUAAUAGCAGUUAUUGCAUGAUAACUGUUUGAAAGGUGCAAUUGCACCACUACCAGAUGGACCUGCGUUGUAUUAGCUAGUUGGUGGGGUAACGGCUCACCAAGGCGACGAUACAUAGCCGACCUGAGAGGGGGAUCGGCCACACUGGGACUGAGACACGGCCCAGACUCCUACGGGAGGCAGCAGUAGGGGAACUUCGGCAAUAGACGGAAGGCUGACCGAGCAACGCCGCGUGAGUGAAGAAGGGUUUCGGAUCGUAAAGCUCUGUUGUAAGAGAAGAACGAGUGUGAGAGUGGAAAGUUCACACUGUGACGGUAUCUUACCAGAAAGGGACGGCUAACUACGUG
rnacentral:rRNA from 1 species